GACGAACGCUGGCGGCGUGCUUAACACAUGCAAGUCGAACGAAGUGGCGAACGGGUGAGUAACGCGUAAUCAACCUGCCCUUCAGAGGGGGACAACAGUUGGAAACGACUGCUAAUACCGCAUACUGAAGGAGGGGAUUGCGUCGGAUUAGCUAGUUGGAGGGGUAACGGCCCACCAAGGCGAAGAUCAGUAGCCGGUCGGAGGGGAUGGACGGCCAAAAUGGGAAUGGAAAACAGGCCAGACUCCUACGGGAGGCAGCAGUGGGGAAACUUCCGAAAUGGACGAAAGUCUGACGGAGCAACGCCGCGGGAGUGAUGACGGGCGUCGGGUUGUAAAGCUCUGUUAAUCGGGACGCGGUACCGGAAUAGAAAGCCACGGCUAACUACGUGCCAGCAGCCGCGGUAAUAC
rnacentral:rRNA from 1 species